rnacentral:rRNA from 1 species
UACAGAGGAUGCAAGCGUUAUCCGGAAUGAUUGGGCGUAAAGCGUCUGUAGGUGGCUUUUUAAGUCCGCCGUCAAAUCCCAGGGCCAUCACUCUGGACAGGCGGUGGAAACUACCAAGCUGGAGUACGGUAGGGGGCAGAGGGAAUUUCCGGUGGAGCGGUGAAAUGCGUAGAGAUCGGAAAGAACACCAACGGCGAAAGCACUCUGCUGGCCGACACUGACACUGAGAGACGAAAGCUAGGGGAGCGAAUGGG